GCCUCGGGAGAGCAGGGAGCUGUUUGACCCCGAGGAGCAGAGGGGGUCAAACAGCUUUGGCACGUGUCCGUAGAGAACCCAGCUGAAGGCGAUCCUGAACCUGGGGGAGCACCCCCACCUCCGCGAUCUCCGUGCCGGGAGGAGGCCGCCCAGGCCUUACGAGGAGGAGGAGCGGUGUGACAGGGAAACCUGCUCUCAGGUGGGGCCAUCCGCCUGGAGACAGAGGGCAGCCUUCGGAGGGACAAGAGGAAGGGAAGAAGCCACCCUUUCCUGGGCUCGAGGCUGCACACUGCCCGGCGGGGAGCCCUGAGCCGGGGAUCGAGGAUCCGUGUGCGGUCGGCCGGCGCGAGCGGGCUCCGGCGUGCACAGCCCGCAGAGACGGAGAUGGGCAGCUCGGACAGAGAGAGGAUCUGCGGCCAGGAACUGCGGACGGCCUUGAAGACCUAAGCAGACGGCCGGUGAGAAGCAUGCCCUCGGCAAUGCGGCAGCAAGGGGAAGAAUUGUGCCGUGACCUGAGAGAGCACAGAAGCAGAGUCUCCCCCAGUCGAGCCUCCAGAAAAGAGCACAGCCCAAAAAUGCCACCUUGAGUGUAGAUUACUGAGACCUUAGGCCGAAGACCCAGCUAAGCCACGUCCAGAUUGCUCUUUUAGUGAGCUAAUAAA